rnacentral:lncRNA from 1 species
AUGGAAUUAUAUUUCAAAUGUUUGUUUCUUGAAAAACAAACAAACGGACAAUUCUUAAUUUGUUCGUUAUUUUUUAUUUAAAAUACAUUAUUUAUUGAAAAGGGAGUCCAAAAUAGAAUUGUUAUUCAGAAUUUCGACAGCAAUUUUUUUUGGAAAAGGGAAUAAAGCAUGGUUGUGGUCCUUUAAUAUUUUGUUAAGAAAAGUUUACAGUGUUAUAUAUCUGUAUGUUGAAUCCGUACUUUCCGGAACCGUUGUAGUGUCGUAACCAUGAUUGUUGUGAUGAUUACAUGUAUCAGCCUCUUUUCGCGUUUGAAUCCAAAGUAAAAGGAUCAUAAAUUGAAAGCUCUUCCUUUUAUUUACAAUCUAUAUAUUUCAUCUUUAGUCCCCCAAACUUUAGUCAGGUGUAUUACAUGGUGGAGGACCCGGUUGAUUAAGUAAGUAAAAUUAACAGUGUUCUAUGACAAUUAAAAGAUCAUAUUGAUAUAGUUUGUUCACUAAAGUGUCAAACAUACAUAUACCCAAAGGAAAUAGAGGAAACUAAAAAGAUGGACAUGAUGAUCAAAAUUCAAUGAGAAAACUUCUAGCACCUUACACAAGAGACACAUACAAAAGGAAAACACAUGGAAGAUGAAUUCAUACCAAGUACAGCAGAAUAGACCUUAUAGCUAUUCAAAAAUCUGAGUCACUUGACCGGAGAAUCUUUGUCUCUUGUCCUAUGAAGUCGUAUAGCAAUCAUCUUUUCAUUUUAGUGUCCUAUAUUUUCUAUAAUGUUGUCUAAAUUUUACAAUACCUUUGUGGUAUCCAGUAAUGACCGACAAAUGGCGAUAAGGUGUAUUCAAAAUCAAAUAUUUUAAACCCCCAACUCUAAACUUCACCUAACAAAGUAGUUUGAAAAGCCCUGGCAUAGGAAAAAAUAGUUAACAUCUAGAGACAAGUCAUGUUAUGUGUUGACCCUAGGAACCAGGAUCGGGCGGCAGGAACAAUGACUUGGUAUUUAAAAUUAACAUAAUUUGAAUAAAGACCCGUAACUUUGGCAUCAAUGACAUAAUUUUAACAUGUGUUUGCAAAUUAAAUGAAACACUACAUUUACCAACAACAAUGUCUUUCAACAAUAACCCAUCAGAACUUUGGUAGAAAAACUGUGGUGAUUUGUAAAAAAUAAACAGUGUGGUUCUUCCUAAUUUCUUGUCAGUGACCUACAGGUAUAAGGUAGAUAACUGUGGAAAAACCUAGUAAAAUUACAGAAUAACCAUACAUUGUCUCAAAAUAUAAAUUUUAUUUGUACAAGGCUUAGAAACAGGUAGAAAACAAGGCUUUGCAGAGCCUUUCUACCAUUUUGAGCCGAGUACAAAUAAAAUUAAUUAUUCGAAACAAAAUAUUGUUAUUCUUUAUAAACUGCAACUCC